AGUCAUAUGCUUGUCUCAAAGAUUAAGCCAUGCAUGUCUAAGUAUAAGCAAUUAUACCGCGAAACUGCGAAUGGCUCAUUAUAUAAGUUAUCGUUUAUUUGAUAAUACUUUACUACUUGGAUAACCGUGGUAAUUCUAGAGCUAAUACAUGCUGAAAAUCCCGACUUCGGAAGGGAUGUAUUUAUUAGAUUAAAAACCAAUGCCCCCCGGGGCUCUCUGGUGAAUCAUGAUAACUAGUCGAAUCGACAGGCCUUGUGCCGGCGAUGGCUCAUUCAAAUUUCUUCCCUAUCAACUUUCGAUGUUUGGGUAUUGGCCAAACAUGGUGGCAACGGGUAACGGAGGGUUAGGGCUCGACCCCGGAGAAGGAGCCUGAGAAACGGCUACUACAUCCAAGGAAGGCAGCAGGCGCGCAAAUUACCCAAUCCCGACACGGGGAGGUAGUGACAAUAAAUACUGAUACAGGGCUCUUUUGGGUCUUGUAAUCGGAAUGAGUACAAUUUAAAUCCCUUAACGAGGAACAAUUGGAGGGCAAGUCUGGUGCCAGCAGCCGCGGUAAUUCCAGCUCCAAUAGCGUAUAUUAAAGUUGUUGUGGUUAAAAAGCUCGUAGUUGAACCUUGGGCCUGGCUGGCCGGUCCGCCUCACCGCGUGCACUGGUCCGGCCGGGCCUUUCCCUCUGCGGAACCCCAUGCCCUUCACUGGGUGUGGCGGGGAAACAGGACUUUUACUUUGAAAAAAUUAGAGUGCUCAAGGCAGGCCUAUGCUCGAAUACAUUAGCAUGGAAUAAUAGAAUAGGACGCGUGGUUCUAUUUUGUUGGUUUCUAGGACCGCCGUAAUGAUUAAUAGGGACAGUCGGGGGCAUCAGUAUUCAAUUGUCAGAGGUGAAAUUCUUGGAUUUAUUGAAGACUAACUACUGCGAAAGCAUUUGCCAAGGAUGUUUUCAUUAAUCAGGAACGAAAGUUAGGGGAUCGAAGACGAUCAGAUACCGUCGUAGUCUUAACCAUAAACUAUGCCGACUAGGGAUCGGACGAUGUUACAUUUUUGACGCGUUCGGCACCUUACGAGAAAUCAAAGUGCUUGGGCUCCAGGGGGAGUAUGGUCGCAAGGCUGAAA
rnacentral:rRNA from 1 species